AAUUCAACGAAACGAAACUUCGAUAGCGAACGAAAUUCAAACGAAGUUUCGUUAGUGACCCUACUCUAUUUCAUUUUCGGAUGCGCAUACGAAGUUCGGAACCAUAGACAAUUUUCGUGAACGAAUGGAAUCUAUAAUAUUGUGUGGGGCUUUUAUGAUGUCGACUAAACUAAGUUACGGUUUUUACUUUAACUUGAAAUUAUUAAACUUUUCAGCUUUACUUAUUCAUGUAACAUUAUAAAUGUGAUUCAUUGCAUAUUUCUUGUAAUAUUCAUGCAAACAAUCUAAACUUUCAGGCAAAAAAUAUAUUUUCAACUACUUUCGACUCGACACUAUAAAAAAACCCUUUGACAGUCAUUGCUAACCAACUAAUUUGAAGAGUACUAUUUCAUGCCAAAAAUGGGUAAUCACGGAUGACAACCAAAAAUAGCUACAUAAUACAAUCUAAUCAUAACAAGGUCGACUUAAGAUUUUUUGUUUGAAUACUUUGAUAAGUUUUCUGAAGUGUGUUUCUCAAGUGUCGUAUUUAAUAAAUCAUGUUUCCAAGUGCUUUUAUACCAAGGUACGAGUUCCCUAAGGAAGUAUUAUGUCGUACUUUACUACAGUCCGACUUCUACGUACGUCUGCUGUAUUUUGGUUCACAACAAGUUUUGUUUUGGAUUUAAAAACUUCUUUAAAAUGGCUCCAUAUACGGGGUUCGGCAAAUCCUCAACAAAUCGAAACCGUUCUCAAUUUCCUGGACGAACAUAGAGAUUUAGCUCGCGGGAGAUUGAAUAGUUGAACCCAGCCAGGAAGAUAACCUGAGAGUCCAGCUGUAAAAGCUGCCUAAGUACCACCACCAUUGACACAAAAAUGCCGACUUUCACACCUUCCUCUCGACAUACACACUCUACAAGGAGACUGCCUACUACUAGGAGACUG